UGAGUACGAGCGGCUACGGCCGCGAAGUGGAUGAUGUCAAGCUUCCAAGAAAAGCCCUAUACCCGUUAAGGCAUGAUGGCCUGUACCCGAAACCGACACAGGUGGGGUGGUAGAGAAUACCGAGGGGCGCGAGGUAACUCUCUCUAAGGAACUCGGCAAAAUGGCCCCGUAACUUCGGGAGAAGGGGUGCCACCGCGAGGUGGUCGCAGUGAAGAGGCCCAGGCGACUGUUUACCAAAAACACAGGUCUCCGCUAAGUCGCAAGACGAUGUAUGGGGGCUGACGCCUGCCCAGUGCCGGAAGGUUAAGGAAGCUGGUCAGCGCAAGCGAAGCUGGCGACUGAAGCCCCGGUGAACGGCGGCCGUAACUAUAACGGUCCUAAGGUAGCGAAAUUCCUUGUCGGGUAAGUUCCGACCCGCACGAAAGGCGUAACGAUCUGGGCGCUGUCUCGGAGAGAGGCUCGGCGAAAUAGAAUUGUCUGUGAAGAUGCGGACUACGUGCACCCGGACAGAAAGACCCUAUGAAGCUUUACUGUAGCUUGGUAUUGUGCUCGGGCUCGGAAUGCGCAGGAUAGGUGGGAGGCUUUGAUCCAUUGCUUGCGGGUGAUGGUGAGCCACUGGUGAGAUACCACUCUUUCCGAGCUAGAGUUCUAACAGCAACCCGUUAUCCGGGUGCUGGACAGUAUCAGGUGGGCAGUUUGACUGGGGCGGUCGCCUCCUAAAAGGUAACGGAGGCGCGCAAAGGUCUGCUCAGGCUGGUUGGAAAUCAGCCGACGAGUGUAAAAGCAGAAGCAGGCUUGACUGUGAGACCUACAAGUCGAACAGGGAGGAAACUCGGCUUUAGUGAUCCGACGGUUCUGCGUGGAAGGGCCGUCGCUCAACGGAUAAAAGUUACUCUAAGGAUAACAGGCUGAUCUCCCCCAAGAGUUCACAUCGACGGGGAGGUUUGGCACCUCGAUGUCGGCUCAUCGCAACCUGGGGCUGAAGUCGGUCCCAAGGGUUGGGCUGUUCGCCCAUUAAAGCGGUACGCGAGCUGGGUUCAGAACGUCGUGAGACAGUUCGGUCCAUAUCCGGUGCACGCGCAGGAAUAUUGAGAGGAUUUCUCCCUAGUACGAGAGGACCGGGAGGAACGCACCUCUGGUGUGCCAGUUAUCGUGCCAACGGUAAACGCUGGGUAGCCAUGUGCGGAGUGGAUAACCGCUGAAAGCAUCUAAGUGGGAAGCCCACCUCAAGAUGAGUAUUCCCAUGGCAUAAGCCAGUAAGGUCACGGGAAGAACACCCGUUGAUAGGCUCUACGUGGAAGCGCAGUAAUGUGUGAAGCGGAGGAGUACUAAUAGACC
rnacentral:rRNA from 1 species